rnacentral:rRNA from 1 species
AGUGAAGCGGCAACAGCUCAAAUUUGAAAUCUGGCCUCGGCCCGAGUUGUAAUUUGCAGAGGAUGCUUUUGGUGCGGUGCCUUCCGAGUUCCCUGGAACGGGACGCCACAGAGGGUGAGAGCCCCGUAUGGUCGGACACCAAUCCUGUGUAAAGCUCCUUCGACGAGUCGAGUAGUUUGGGAAUGCUGCUCUAAAUGGGAGGUAAGUCUCUUCUAAAGCUAAAUACCGGCCAGAGACCGAUAGCGCACAAGUAGAGUGAUCGAAAGAUGAAAAGCACCUUGAAAAGGGGGUUAAACAGUACGUGAAAUUGUUGAAAGGGAAGCACUUGUGACCAGACUUGGGCCGGGCGGCUCAUCAGGGGUUCUCCCCUGUGCAUUCCGCCCGGUACAGGCCAGCAUCGGUUCUUACCGGGGGAUAAGAACGGCAGGAACGUGGCUCCCUCUCGGGGGAGUGUUAUAGCCUGCCGUACGAUACCCUGGCGGGGACCGAGGUUCGCGCUUCCGCAAGGAUGCUGGCGUAAUGGUUACUAGUGACCCGUCUUGAAACACGGACCAAGGAGUCGUCCAUUAGAGCGAGCGUUUGGGUGUAAAACCCGCACGCGUAAUGAAAGUGAAAUUAGGUGAGAGCUUCGGCGCAUCAUCGACCGAUCCUGAUGUUCUCGGAUGGAUUUGAGUAAGAGUUUUAACGGACGGACCCGAAAGACAGUGAACUAUGCUUGUAUAGGGUGAAGCCAGAGGAAACUCUGGUGGAGGCUCGCAGCGGUUCUGACGUGCAAAUUGAUCGUC